GUUAAAUCCCUGGAAGCAUACAGAGGAAAUGGCAGUGACCUCCAACACAAACACCGGCAAUACAGGCAUCAGGGAAUUGUUCAGCUUUGCAAUUCCAGAAGAUCUGCACUUCUAACAGGUAAAGAAGAAUGCUAUGUUCCAGCCAUUGACCUACCAGUGCUGAACACAACCCUAUCAGUAUUGCCAGAUUUUCAGCACUGACAUCUCCAUGCAGGUGCUACAUGUGGGAAGUAUGUGGUCAUAGUUUCAGCUUUGCAGAGAGAACUAAUUGACUUUCACACAGGAUCUUGAUAUUUCGAAAUCUGGGUUUGUUCCAGUUUGGAACAAAAGCCAAACAUUUCAUAAUUGUCUGUGAAAGGCAAUAAAGCUUCAGCGUGGGAGCAGGUCAUCUCCUAGGCUUCCCCAGAGCAUUGGUCCUGUGAGCACUGAGAUCUCCUAAACCAGGCUAGGAGGGGUUUCCCUGGAAGACUUUUCCUGACUGACCUGCUCCAAAGAAGCAGCACCCUUAACUGCUGGAGUCCCAGCUGCUGAGCAGCUCCCAGCCUGCUGGGCAUCUAGGAGAAACAGGAAAAUCCCAGUGUCACUGCAAAACAUACCAAUUUGUCUGAACUGGCAAAUUCCUACCAGAAAAUGCUGUCAGAAAUUUUCUAGCCUGUUUCAUUGGUAAUUCAAGGCUUGUGUUUUACUAUAAAGGAGAUUAAUGUGCUGUCUAGCAUGCUCCAGGGUAACAGUAAUAGUGCUGUCAUUUGGGUAUUAAAAAAGGGUGGUGGUAAGGGAUAAUAUUAGGAUAUUGCCUGAUACCUCUCCACCUCAACCUCAACGCAAAUAAAGUACCAGGUGAAAUUCCUUUUGCUUUAGAAUACCUUCCCAUACCUCAAUUGAAGGUUAAAACUGCUUAUAACAUCUUUCACACUGCCACAAGAUUCUAACAAGAAGCAGCAUCAGAAACUGUACCAGUCUACAGCAGGAGCAGUAACAAGAAUGGCCCGGGCCAGAGCAGACAGCCAGCAGCUGAAGCCUGGUAUUGCUGAGUGGUUUCUGCAACAGAGGACAGAAGUUCUUCUCUACUGGUAGUAACAAAAAAACAUUUCAGUGUGUCAAAAA